rnacentral:rRNA from 1 species
GACAGAGGCCUCGAGCGUUAGGCGGAAUCACUGGGCUUAAAGCGUGUGUAGGCGGACCCCUAAGUGUCUUGUGAAAUCCCACGGCUCACCCGUGGAACCGCUGGGCAUACUGGGGGUCUUGGGCCAUUCAGGGGCGACUGGAACAAGCGGUGGAGCGGUGAAAUGCGUAGAUAUCGCUUGGAACGCCGACGGUGAAAACAGGUCGCUGGGAAUGUGCCGACGCUGAGACACGAAAGCCAAGGGAGCAAACGGG